rnacentral:misc_RNA from 1 species
GAAAUGCGAUAAGUAGUGUGAAUUGCAGAAUUCAGUGAAUCAUCGAAUCUUUGAACGCACAUUGCGCUCUUCGGUAUUCCGAAGAGCAUGCCUGCUUGAUACCUGGAACAAAAAUGAAGGGAGGACCUCUGGUUCUGUCUUCACAUCUGGACGCAUUAUUUCUCAUGGCUAGCUCCUCGAGUCGUCCUAAAAUCAAGACGGACCGAUGCACGUCGAACUCGGCUCGCCUGGCGAAUGAUAAUACGUACCGUGGUCUUCGUGACCGUGCUACUAGUUUUUUUUCAUCCAGCCAGGCGUUUCUCACGCCGGGGCUUGACGCUUCGUCCUAUUGGUGUUCCACCAAGCUUCUACAUCUGUUUGCUGGGUAUCAAAUCAGGUAGGAUUACCCGCUGAACUUAA